rnacentral:rRNA from 1 species
AUUAUUGGGCGUAAAGAGCUUGUAGGCGGUUUGUCGCGUCUGCUGUGAAAAUCCGGGGCUCAACCCCGGACUUGCAGUGGGUACGGGCAGACUAGAGUGUGGUAGGGGAGACUGGAAUUCCUGGUGUAGCGGUGAAAUGCGCAGAUAUCAGGAGGAACACCGAUGGCGAAGGCAGGUCUCUGGGCCACUACUGACGCUGAGAAGCGAAAGCAUGGGGAGCGAACAGGAUUAGAUACCCUGGUAGUCCAUGCCGUAAACGUUGGGAACUAGGUGUGGGUCUCAUUCCACGAGAUCCGUGCCGCAGCUAACGCAUUAAGUUCCCCGCCUGGGGAGUACGGCCGCAAGGCUAAAACUCUAAGGAAUUGACGGGGGCCCGCACAAGCGGCGGAGCAUGCGGAUUAAUUCGAUGCAACGCGAAGAACCUUACCAAGGCUUGACAUAUGCGAGAACGCGGCAGAGAUGUCGUUCUCUUUGGACACUCGUAUACAGGUGGUGCAUGGUUGUCGUCAGCUCGUGUCGUGAGAUGUUGGGUUAAGUCCCGCAACGAGCGCAACCCUCGUUCUAUGUUGCCAGCACGUGAUGGUGGGGACUCAUAGGAGACUGCCGGGGUCAACUCGGAGGAAGGUGGGGAUGACGUCAAAUCAUCAUGCCCCUUAUGUCUUGGGCUUCACGCAUGCUACAAUGGCCGGUACAAAGGGCUGCGAAACCGCGAGGUGGAGCGAAUCCCAAAAAACCGGUCUCAGUUCGGAUUGGGGUCUGCAACUCGACCCCAUGAAGUCGGAGUCGCUAGUAAUCGCAGAUCAGCAA